UGGGGAAGUAAUUGCACAAUGGGGGGAACCCGUGAUGCAGCGACGCCGCGUGAGUGAAGAAGUAUUUCGGUAUGUAAAGCUCUAUCAGCAGGGAAGAAAAUGACGGUACCUGACUAAGAAGCCCCGGCUAACU
rnacentral:rRNA from 1 species